UUAACACUGUAUUUGCUAAUACUUGUUUUAUUUUUAAGUACAUCAUAUCUUAGUUGAACGUAAAACAAUCACAGAUUCACUGAAUUACAGUUUAAGUCCAAGUUUCUUUAAUACAAUAACUAUGAUAUGGCAUCACAAUAUGUGCAUCUGUUUUUUAGUUGAUACAAAAUCUAUAACAUAAGUACUGUGAUAUGUAAAUAAUAACUAAGAAAAAAAAUUUUAUUUGUUGUGUUCGCAGGCAUACAAUUUGAUUCGAUAUGCCUAAAUUUUUGAAUGCUAGGAGUGAGAAGCGAAGACGCCAGAGAAGAAAACAUGAAAAUAAGCCAAGGUUUAAUUGUUUGGAUUCAAAACAAGAAAAUAGCGCUAGAACUAAAACAUGUAACGCUCAACCAAAUGAUGUAGUAAAUAGUCAAUCCGAUUAUGACAUUCCCAUAACGCAUGUAAAUUCUAUGGAUGUGUUGUCCCCGAAGAACAGUUCUACAAUUGAAACCAGCAACUUUCAAUCAAUGGCUGUAGUAAAAAGUGAACCAUUAGAAUACAAUGAUGACAUCUACUUAACGCAGCUAAACUCUAAGGAUGUGUGUACCUCUAACCGCAGGAAGGUUGGCCAAUUGACAUAUGAUAAAGAUCAAGAUUUUCUAUACAUUAAGUCUGAAGAGAUCGCUGAGGACAAGGAUCUAGAAGUAGCUGGUAAUGGCAUGCUAUACGAAUUAAAUGCAAGAAAUCCGGUAGUACUGAAUGUAAAUCAACUUAAUACUGAGUCUGGCAAACAUACAAAAAAUCAUGCGUCUGAAAUUGCAGUUACACAACAUCUACAACUUCCACAUUCUGAAAAUUCAAAAAUUCGAAAACAAAAUACAAUAUCAAAAAUUUUUACUACAAAUGGCACAACAACCAACCGAUUAAUCCCUAAAACACCAUAUUUUUUGGAAAUACCCGGAACGUCAAGCUUACUACAGAAAGCAUCGAGCGGAAGAAAAGUGGCUUCUUUAAAAAUAAACAAAACUCCCCAUGCAAAAAUCCUAACAAACUUCAGCGAAGGCACGAGUAAAUGCGCUUGUCAUUCAAAUCCAAUGAAAAACGUUGAUGCUCAUAGCAAUUUAGAACUAAAGGAUUUCUUUGAAAGAAUGUUUGAGGAGACGCGCAAAUUGAAACUCGAAGACCGUCAAACGAUUAAAACAGAAUUGCUCAAAGCAGUUUCUCAAGCUCAAGAAGAUGUGGAGGCUGGAAAGUUUUGUGAAAGGUGCUAUACAAUGUUGGCACAACCAAAGAAGAGAUGUUGACGAAUAAUUGUGGAAAUCUCAAAUUACUUAAUUGAUUUCCAUACACGCUUACAAAAGUUUUGCGUUAUCUGCCUGAUAAGCAUGCACAAGACUUCAAACGAGCUGCAGUUCUUUACUGGCGUAGACACCGCGUACGCGGCUAUAGCAGGAGCCGAGCUGAAGUUAUACUAUAUUCGAAAAGGGGACCAUUGAUGAUUUAAAAUGCUGAUAUCUCAUUUCAUAACUUGACCAUAACUGUUCCAUAACGUCCCAGAAAAUAGAUCGGAUUACUAUAGCAUAUACAUAGCUGCCAUACAAACUGAAUGAUCGGAAUCCAAAUGCUGGCAUGGGAAACUUCCUCAUAUGACGAUAUACUAUUCACGAAAUUUGGUAUGAGUUAUUGUUCAUAGAAAUUUUAUUUCGGAAAAAAAAUUUUCAGAUCGGCUCACUAUAGCAUAUAGCUGCCAUACAAACCGAACGAUCGGAAUCAAGGGCUUGUAUGGAAAACUUUUGCAUUUGACGUGGUAUCUUCACGAAAAUUGACAUGGAUUACUGCUUAAGAAUUUAAAUGUGACCUUGAUAACCGCAAUGAAAAAUGAAAACAAGGUAAUUUGGUAAUAUACGACAAUAACAAAAUGAAAUCUCGAGGUCUGGAUCUCUCAAAUGGAACAAAAUCUAAUGAAACUCAUACAAUUAUUUAAAAAAAAUGUCCUUCAAUAAAACUUGUUAUGCGUACUCGUUUGAAUUGAAGAAAUGUCAGUAUUAAAAGAAUACAACCUUUUAGUGACCGAUCGAGUUCAGUUGAAAAGCAAUAAGUGAAAAGGAAAGGACCUCAUAAUGGACACAAUGAACAUUGAUCAGUACUCGUUUUAUUGACUUGAAGUUGUGGGCAGUAAGGCGGUAUAUUUUCUGUGCUGAAGGUCAUUCUUAACAUCCGGUCACACUUAGUAACACCGACCUAGCUGGUCCCAAGCCCAUGUUGAAAAAAAGGAUGCGGGUUGGUAUGGUGGAAUGACUACUAGUAAGCGUCUCGGUCUCGGUCGUCUGGCAGCCGCAACCAGUACACAGGUCACUGUUACUAAUGCCGAAAACAAUCAGCUUCUCAAUACUGAAAAACAAAUACAAAAUCCGGAAGUAAAAUACCAAGCCCCCAGCGAGGUACCCAACAAAAUAGCCAGCAGUAGUUCAACCGCUCCAAGCAUCAAUAAGAAGUUUGUAUUCACCGCUGGUGGCGACGCUGGGCGUUCGGGAGGGAAGUAUGUCAGCGGAGUGCAAAAUUUCUUCCUGGCGGUGUUCAGCGAUGGUCUAAUGGCCCUAAUCCUGUCGUCGUCCUCGGACAUAUGUGGCUUUAAGUUACAUAAUGCGCGCUUCGAAAAAGGUAAACCUGCAAAAUCUCCCCUGGAGAGUUUCCCAACUACCGUUGCGCAUUCUAAAAACAUCACAGCGUGGGAACAGACUAUACCGCCAUCGGCACGAAUAACCACUGAGAAACAUCUUGGCGCUCCUUUGUUUAAUAAUAAGAAACGUUGGAGAAUUCAUACCACAAUGAGCUCGUCGGGACACCCUGGUAACUCCUACUCGCAAUGGUUAACAGGAACAGGCGAUGCCGAGGAGCUAACUCCUUUUCAGGAGUAUAAGCCUUUUAGUAGAAAUACUGUUUACGCAAAUUAAAUGUCGCUUGUCCCAAAUAUCUGCAUAUCAAGCCUGCGGAAGAAAAGGAAAAGCAACUAAAGUAUAUUCCUUCUCAGUAGAGAGAUGUCACAUAUGAGGAAGUUAGUUUCAAACGUAGGUGCAACUAGAUAAAGCAGAAUAGUCAGAACGCGGUGCUGGUAAAUUUCAAUAUGGAGGCUAAAAAGGACGAAAAUCGGGCUGGGAUACCAGUCCAAACGUCGGUGGGAAAAGUGGUUGCUACCACCGGCGGGCACAGCGAGUUUACAAACUGUGUCGCCAGUGGCCAUACUUCUGCUGUGAAGGGAGCAGUUCACAGUAGUAGUGCUAUUGCCAUAUUCGGUUUACAAUGUAGAGGUGCCACAGUCCAUGUAGAUAUGGACCUUGCAUGUAUUGACAGCGUCAACAUAACUGAAGAGUAAGUAUUGCCAGGCUCUUCAGGGGAUGCUGAUUCGCCGAAAAAGCCUAGGUUUAGGUCAAAACCCAAUAAGGAGGUUAAAAGUGAAAGCGAUCUACAAAGCUGCGGUCGAAGUCAACGGAACACUUAGCUGCAAGGAGGAAAUGUUGGCUUGGGCUACAGGAAAAAUGGAAGAAGGCCGAGCUUAUUAUGCAUCGCGACCGCUGAAAGCGAAACAGCGAGGCCAAAUGACCGACCGAAGAGGAAAUACGACGAUGUAAGACAAAAUGUCAGGCUCAGGGUCGACGGAAUAAUCGCUGGCAAUUGGCAGCUGUCCGAUGAAAGCGAAACAGCGCGUCCGUCUAAACGACAUAAAUGGAAAGACGAUGCUGUAAGGCCAAAUGUCAGUCUCGAUCGUGUUAGAAUUGACUACAACCAGCCAUACCAUACGUCGCGGCAAAAAUUCACGUUCACGGAUCCGAGAUUCGCAAAUCGGGUCGACGAAAGAAUUUCAGCCAAAUGGCAGCUGUCCGCUGAAAGCGAAACGCUCUGGCAUACUGAGAAAAUCGAAUACAACUGGCCUUACAAUACUUCACGGCAGCAAUUCACUUCGACAGAUACGGAAUUCGCAAACUGGAUCGAUGAAACAGCUUGCCCGUAUAAACGACCGAAGAGAGAAGAUGAUGCUGUAAGGCCAAACGACUGCCUCGAUCGAGAGAAACCCUCAACAUCUAGGGCGGCAGCAACGGCCAGCGAGAUAGCCAAGAGGCCCUAAUUGACCGUAGCCACCCCAUGCGCUCUUCGCAAGAAUCGAUAGGGCUCCGGGCACGCUUAUACCAAAUUUCGAUGGACGGGUGAGGACAGGUCCUCACUUCUAUGGGUAAAAGAAGUGAUUAGGAACCUUCAAGGCCUGUGGAAGGGUGCCCUUCUGGACAUUGUGGACCGUAGCUGCAUUCUCAUUCCUCCGAAAGCGAAGGUGCUCAUUCCACGAACGGUAGAACCGGAGGAUGCACUGCGGCUAUUCAGAAGAAAUAAAUUCUGAUAUGCCGACGGAAGAUUGGAGGGUCUUGAAGGUUACCAACUCCGACAAGAGAGAUGUCAGCCAAUUGUACUUUCUUCAAAUAAAUAAGUCGUCCGAAGACAUUUUAUACGGCCAUCCAGACGAUAACAAUGAAAAUACGUUGAAGGAUAACGAGAUGGAGGAGGAUCUAGAAGAUAUUCUAUAGGCCACCUUGAAGCUCCAUGACGCAAGUAAAGGUGAGCCGGUGACUCAACCCGACCCCGAGAAGAAACCCGAAUUUAACAGUGAAGGUUCUUCAAACAUACCUGAAUAAUAGCAAGUAGCCUCUGACUUUAUCUAGACUAAAGUCACCAACAUACUAGUCGUACUUCCCGAGUUAAACAAACAAGAUGACCUGACUGUGGUAGACGUAAAAGAUGGCAAGAAUUAGACACACACCUUUCAUCCAGUUACAUGACCCACGGUUAUGAAGGGCCACUAUUCCAGUAGAACUCAGAAGGUUGGUGGAUGCGGCAGAUAAGACGAAGAACUCUUUUGAUAGGCACGGACGGCAAUGAGCAUAAACUCAUACUCGGUAUCUUAGGAUUUUAAAAAGUAUCAUUCGGAAUUCAAUUCGUCUCGUCAAUCUGAUCAUAUUGAUACACAAACAUAAUUCUAUAUCUUCAUUGAUGCAUUGUGCAGAAUACGCUGAAAAUCGUUACGUUACACCUAUAGAAGAAAAAAGGGCGCCGAACGUCACACCUCAAUAUAAUCUGUAAUAGUAAUAUUUGAAGGAAUUAAUACGCGCCGCGACUUCUCUGUUAGCGGCUGUUUACAAAGUCGAAUUUUUCUAAAAAAGCGAUUUAGAGAAUCACGUGCCAAUUUAAUAGUUCGAGCUAUGGAAGUUGGACUGUGUUUAAAAUAUAUAAAUAAUUUUUUAAUUUUU